AUGUGUCUGAGGAGUGUGAAACGAUCUGAAUGGAAUAGGAAAGGUUACACUGGGGGGAGCUGGGAGGAUAGGAGCUUUGGAGGCUGGACAUGUGGACAGACAGUGUGUGACAAUGUGUCUGAGGCAGAGACGGCUGAACUGGGCUUGAGCAGCGGAUGGGAGACUGAGAAGGGCGCACACAGCAGAGGAGACAACGCAGGCCGGCUGGAGGGGUCACAGAGAGUAGCAGAAGUGUUGCUGUGUGUGACCUGGAGAAACCAGGAGAGAUCUAGAAACCGGGCCCAGGAUGUGGGAGGUCAGGUGAGCUACCUCGGACAACUGAGAGAGGGUGGUGGAGGAGAGGUCCACCUCUGUCCGAUAGGCCAGAGAGUGAGGAACCGCGGGAGACGGCGCCCGGCAGCCAGGAGAGGAGAGGAGGCUUGUUGAGAGGAUCCAGGAACACACUGUGCCCAGAGGGACGGCAGGGAGCUAGGAGAGAGUGGGUGUGGAGAACCUACCCCUAGGAGUGGGCAAAGGGCAUGAGGAAGCCCCUGCAGGAGGAAGAGCACAGCACAGGUCAGGCGAGUGAGGAAGUGGGAGAGGUGGGAAGAGGCCAGCACAGGAUGGGCUGCUCGAGGCAGUGUCGCAGUGGAGAAGGGUGAGCAGAUGAGCCCCCGGGGCUGAGGGAGCAUCAGAGUCCAGACUGUCAGACUUGGAGGAAAAGGACCCAGGACCAGGCAGACAGCGAGCAAAUGGAUGUAGGCGACAAGGCACCUGAAUGAUGGUGUUGUGUUGGAAUUGCUGUUAAUGGUUCAAGAGUGAAUUGCCAACUUGGUGGUCCCAGAGCUCAGGAUGCUUGAGAUACGAAGCCCAGAGAUGCAAGUGCAGACUGAAAGGAAGAGGGGUUGUAUGUACGCGGGCAGAGAGCACCAGAGGGGACGUCCACACUGAUGGAAAGGCCGAAGUGGGUGGGAGAGGUCAGUGCAGGAGAGCGUCUGGGGAGAGGUGGCUGCUAGGAGGGAGGGGAGGAGGAGGGCGGCAGCAGGCCCAGGGCUCAGUGCAGAGGGAGGCUGGGGUAGGGAGGGGUGGCAGCCCAGGGCGAGGCUAAAGGUAUCAGGAGUGUGGUGAAGGGAUGAAGGCAGAGAGUCAGGAAAGGUUCCCCUCGAAUGUGUCAGAGGAGUGUGAAACGAUCUGAAUGGAAUAGGAAAGGUUACACUGGGGGAGCUGGGAGGAUAGGAGCUUUGGAGGCUGGACAUGUGGACGGACAGUGUGUGACAAUGUGUCUGAGGCAGAGACGGCUGAACUGGUUGAGCAGCGGAUGGGAGACUGAGAAGGGGGCACACAGCAGAGGAGACAACUGCAGGCCUGGCUGGAGGGGUCACAGAGAGUAGCAGGAAGUGUUGCUGUGUGUGACCUGGAGAAACCAGGCGAGAUCUAGAAACCGGGC
rnacentral:lncRNA from 1 species